GGGCUCACUUGAGUUCCCUGAGGUCGACUCUUAGUCUGUAGAAAUCCAAGUUACAAUCCGUGUGGUACGUAGAUACCUCUGGUGACUGGGGUCCCACGUUUGCAUGCAGUGGGCUGGCAGUUUAGAAUAGAGCAGGGAUUUAUGUUAAUCUUAGUCUGUAGAAAUCCAAGUUGCAAUCCGUGUGGUACGUAGAUACCUCUGGUCCUGCAGUCCUACUCGUGUGAUUCUUGGACUGGCAGGUUAGAAUAUUAGAUGAAGAAAUAAGGACACAGGGAAAGAUUUGUUGUUUUUCAUACUGGGAAAUGUGUGGGUGGUUGGUGUAACUCCUGGUGUUUUACCGAACCUGGAAGCUGUGCGUAUCAGGACUUGAAAAAGGACUGAGAAUCCGACAGUGAAAAGUGUUUGACCGGAUUACACAUCUGUGGGGAUAUGUAUUAAAGGGUAAAAGGGAAAAUCAUAGUUAAAUGAUGGUGGUAUAAAUACGAGAGAAAUAAAACAAUACGAGUGAACUGGUGUUAUAAGCCUCAACAAUCGAGCGCUGUAUUCCUCUAAUACAGUAGAAGGUUCUUGAUUGGGUUCACAGUAUUGGGCAUUGAGUCCUUUCUCUUGUGUUCAAAAACCACGUGUGAAUAAAUAAAUAACCUGUGAUGAAAAUGGAGGAAACCAUAACGAUAUGGGAGAGGUGUAAAGAAGGCACUCUGGGUUUCGCCCUAUUUAAGACUUAUAAGAGACAUAUGGAUAAAACCCUAGAAAAAGAUAGGAAAUGUGUAACAAAAAAUAUGUGAAGUGGGUUGCACAGAUGCAGGAAAGAGGAAUGUUUGGAAGGGAGACAGAUUCUCAACCAACAGGCGAGCAGCUGCAGGACCAUCUUAGGAUGGCGAGAAGAGGAAAAGACCAAGCGCAUGCGCUCCUUGCCGUUAAGGGGAGAUUUUGUGGAAAAGAGAAGAAAAGUGCAGAAAAGGCAGAUGAGUUCUUAGUGGACUGUAGAACAUUUCUGGGAGAAAUAAAUGCGGUAUUCGUGAG
ensembl:lncRNA